rnacentral:rRNA from 1 species
AGUGAACGCUGGCGGUAGGCCUAACACAUGCAAGUCGAACGGCAGCACAGGAGAGCUUGCUCUCUAGGUGGCGAGUGGCGGACGGGUGAGGAAUACAUCGGAAUCUGCCCAGUCGUGGGGGAUAACGUAGGGAAACUUACGCUAAUACCGCAUACGACCUUCGGGUGAAAGAGGGGGAUCGCAAGACCUCUCGCGAUUGGAUGAGCCGAUGUCGGAUUAGCUAGUUAGCGGGGUAAUAGCCCACCAAGGCGACGAUCCGUAGCUGGUCUGAGAGGAUGAUCAGCCACACUGGAACUGAGACACGGUCCAGACUCCUACGGGAGGCAGCAGUGGGGAAUAUUAGACAAUGGGCGCAAGCCUGAUCCAGCCAUACCGCGUGGGUGAAGAAGGCCUUCGGGUUGUAAAGCCCUUUUGUUGGGAAAGAAAUCUUUCAGGCUAAUACCCUGGGAGGAUGACGGUACCCAAAGAAUAAGCACCGGCUAACUUCGUG